AGCUAUAUAAUCCAGAUAGCAAAAAGGUUUUUGUCAGUAGAGAUGUCACCUUUGAUGAACAUGGAGCAUGGGAUUGGAAGAAAAAAACAGUUGAGCCAUCUCAACCUCCAGCACCAUCAUAUCUUGAUGACGAGGAGCAUGAUGAACCUGCGCAACAACAGUCUCCCUCAGAAAUACUACCAAUAAAGCAUGGUCGAUCACAGAGGCAACGACGUCUACCGGCUCAUUUGGAAGGUUACGUUGUCGGUAAUGAUGUUGAUACUCUAACUGACGAAGAUAUUUUGAAGUUUGCCUUGUUUUCAGAUUGCGAUCCUGUGUAUUUCAAGGAUGCAAUUGAAGAAGAACGUUGGGUGAAAGCAAUGGAGGAGGAAAUCCAUUCAAUUGAGAAGAAUGAUACUUGGGAGCUUACCGACCUUCCAAGAGGAAAGAAACCCAUUGGAGUAAAGUGGGUAUACAAAACAAAGUACAGACUAAUGGGAGAAGUCGACAGAUACAAAGCAAGUGAUUGGGCUGGUGAUACGAUCGAGAGAAAAAGUACUUCCGGCUAUGCAUUCUUCACUGGUUCGGGUGUGUUUUCUUGGAGUUCAAAGAAACAACAUCCAUUCAAUUGAGAAGAAUGAUACUUGUGAGCUUACCGACCUUCCAAGAGGAAAGAAACCCAUUGGAGUAAAGUGGAUAUACAAAACAAAGUACAGACCAACGGGAGAAGUCGACAGAUACAAAGCAAGGUUAGUUGUCA
rnacentral:lncRNA from 1 species